CCUACGGGUGGCAGCAGUGGGGAAUAUUGGGCAAUGGACGCAAGUCUGACCCAGCAACGCCGCGUGAAGGAAGAAGGCUUUCGGGUUGUAAACUUCUUUUAAGGGGGAAGAGCAGAAGACGAUACCCAUUGAAUAAGCCACGGCUAACGACGUGCAAGCAGCCGGGGUAAUACGUAGGUGGCAAGCGGUGUCCGGAUUUACGGGGUGGAAAGGGCGUGCAGCCGGAGAGACAAGGAAGAUGUGAAAUCCACGGGCUCAACCCGUGAACUGCAUUUGAAACUGUUUCCCUUGAGUGUCGUAGAGUUCAUCGGAAUUCCUUGUGUAGCGGUGACAUGCGUAGAUAUCAGGAAGAACACCAGUGGCGAAGGCGGUUUACUGGACGAUAACUGACGGUGCGGCGCGAAAGCGUGGGGAGCAAACAGGAUUAGAUACCCUAGUAGUC
rnacentral:rRNA from 1 species